rnacentral:rRNA from 1 species
UACAGAGGGUGCAAGCGUUGUUCGGAAUUAUUGGGCGUAAAGGGCGCGUAGGCGGUGCGGUAAGUCUGUAGUGAAAUCUCUGGGCUCAACUCAGAGUCUGCUGCAGAAACUGCCGUGCUUGAGUGUGGGAGAGGUGAGUGGAAUUCCCGGUGUAGCGGUGAAAUGUGUAGAUAUCGGGAGGAACACCUGUGGCGAAAGCGGCUCACUGGACCACAACUGACGCUGAGGCGCGAAAGCUAGGGGAGCAAACAGG